CUUUGAAACUUGGACAGUGAUUUGAGAGUUCAACUUAGUGCACAGCUCCUUUUCUAAGUAGCGUUCAGCUCUGUUUGCAACUCUGAACAUGUAGACUGAAGGGGUGGUUCCCGCAGGUACCUGACCUCUGUGCACAACUUGGUCCGCCUUGCCUUCGCCCAAACUGCAAUCCUAUCAGUCAGAUUUUUGACGUGUUACAGAACGCAAGUCACAGCUGCUGCAAUCUGCAGUAUCGAAAACUUUUGAAAUACUGCAUGUCUAACAAAGUUCAGUUUUUGUGUGAAUGAAAGUUUUAUUAAGGUGCUGUUUUUCAACCCUAAUCUUUUUACCAAGAAUGAAACUGUUUAAAAAUUAAGAUGCCAACAGAUCACGAGGAGCCCUGUGGUCCCAGUCACAGGUCAUUUUGCCUGAAUGGGGGGAUUUGUUAUGUGAUACCUACUAUUCCCAGCCCAUUUUGUAGGUGUGUUGAAAAUUACACAGGAGCACGUUGUGAAGAGGUUUUUCUCCCAAGUUCCAGCAUCCAAACCAAAAAUAACCUGUUCGCAGCUUUUGUGGCCUUGGCUGUUCUAGUCACUCUCACCAUUGCAGCUCUCUACUUCCUUUGCAGGAAGGGCCACCUCCAGAGAGCCAGCUCUGCCCAGUGUGAUGUCAGUGUGGGAGAAAUGAGCAGGACCAGUGCCCAGCACAGUGAGUACAUUCAAAUCAAAAUGCUUAAAGACUUCCCUGAGGUUUUUGUUCCACAUAAGGAUUUGGAUUUGGGUCUGUCCAGAAACAUUAACCCUAAAAAUUUUUCCAUGGAUUUUGUGCUAGCACCAUUUUCGCAUGAAGAUAAUUUUUUUUCUUUUUAG
rnacentral:lncRNA from 1 species